rnacentral:lncRNA from 1 species
GAAUCAAGUGAAGAUCUAGUAGGAGAAGGAGAAGAGGACAUCGGAGAAGAUGAUCGAAGACAGUCCCAUUGAGCACUCCUUUAAGAACAAGGGUACCGCAAAGACACAGCCCUUCCUCUAGCACCAAUUCUGUUGGUGCAAAAUUCCACCGAAGCCGGAGUUGCUAGAGUUGAGAUGACCGCGGAUGCCACCGGGACCUGCAAGGAAAGUCUAAACC